UUUAGAUACAAGGUGUUCUUCCAACAACAGUGAUGUGCAAGAUGUAUAAAGUGAAUCAUUUGGUUUCUUUGUGUAAUUGCAGAAACUGAUCUAUCUGAGGAAGGUGAGCAAGAGGGAGCAGAGGAAGAGAGCAGACCAAGUACAAGUAAGGUUUCGAAUAUGGUGUCAGCUCCAUUUCCAAAGCAGCCAGAGAAAGUGACGCCUUCAUAUAAUGGUUUAGAGCGUUGCAGGCCAGGUCGUUCUAGUUGUCAUGAUGGUGACAG